rnacentral:rRNA from 1 species
GAUGAACGCUGGCGGCGUGCCUAAUACAUGCAAGUCGAGCGAACGGACGAGAAGCUUGCUUCUCUGAUGUUAGCGGCGGACGGGUGAGUAACACGUGGAUAACCUACCUAUAAGACUGGGAUAACUUCGGGAAACCGGAGCUAAUACCGGAUAAUAUUUUGAACCGCAUGGUUCAAAAGUGAAAGACGGUCUUGCUGUCACUUAUAGAUGGAUCCGCGCUGCAUUAGCUAGUUGGUAAGGUAACGGCUUACCAAGGCAACGAUGCAUAGCCGACCUGAGAGGGUGAUCGGCCACACUGGAACUGAGACACGGUCCAGACUCCUACGGGAGGCAGCAGUAGGGAAUCUUCCGCAAUGGGCGAAAGCCUGACGGAGCAACGCCGCGUGAGUGAUGAAGGUCUUCGGAUCGUAAAACUCUGUUAUUAGGGAAGAACAUAUGUGUAAGUAACUGUGCACAUCUUGACGGUACCUAAUCAGAAAGCCACGGCUAACUACGUGCCAGCAGCCGCGGUAAUACGUAGGUGGCAAGCGUUAUCCGGAAUUAUUGGGCGUAAAGCGCGCGUAGGCGGUUUUUUAAGUCUGAUGUGAAAGCCCACGGCUCAACCGUGGAGAGUCAUUGGAAACUGGAAAACUUGAGUGCAGAAGAGGAAAGUGGAAUUCCAUGUGUAGCGGUGAAAUGCGCAGAGAUAUGGAGGAACACCAGUGGCGAAGGCGACUAUCUGGUCUGUAACUGACGCUGAUGUGCGAAAGCGUGGGGAUCAAACAGGAUUAGAUACCCUGGUAGUCCACGCCGUAAACGAUGAGUGCUAAGUGUUAGGGGGUUUCCGCCCCUUAGUGCUGCAGCUAACGCAUUAAGCACUCCGCCUGGGGAGUACGACCGCAAGGUUGAAACUCAAAGGAAUUGACGGGGACCCGCACAAGCGGUGGAGCAUGUGGUUUAAUUCGAAGCAACGCGAAGAACCUUACCAAAUCUUGGCAUCCUUUGACAACUCUAGAGAUAGAGCUUUCCCCUUCGGGGGACAAAGUGACAGGUGGUGCAUGGUUGUCGUCAGCUCGUGUCGUGAGAUGUUGGGUUAAGUCCCGCAACGAGCGCAACCCUUAAGCUUAGUUGCCAUCAUUAAGUUGGGCACUCUAAGUUGACUGCCGGUGACAAACCGGAGGAAGGUGGGGAUGACGUCAAAUCAUCAUGCCCCUUAUGAUUUGGGCUACACACGUGCUACAAUGGACAAUACAAAGGGCAGCGAAACCGCGAGGUCAAGCAAAUCCCAUAAAGUUGUUCUCAGUUCGGAUUGUAGUCUGCAACUCGACUACAUGAAGCUGGAAUCGCUAGUAAUCGUAGAUCAGCAUGCUACGGUGAAUACGUUCCCGGGUCU